GACGAACGCUGGCGGCGUGCCUAACACAUGCAAGUCGAACGAGGUCCAACCCUCCGCAAGGAGAGGGAAGACCUAGUGGCGAACGGGUGAGUAACACGUGAGCAACCUGCCUCGAAGACCGGGAUAACCCGGGGAAACCCGGGCUAAUACCGGAUGCCCUCAGCGGGCCACAUGACCUGCUGAGGAAAUGGAUUCCGCUUCGAGAGGGGCUCGCGGCCUAUCAGCUUGUUGGUGGGGUAACGGCCCACCAAGGCUCCGACGGGUAGCUGGUCUGAGAGGACGAUCAGCCACACUGGGACUGAGACACGGCCCAGACUCCUACGGGAGGCAGCAGUGGGAAAUCUUGCGCAAUGGGCGAAAGCCUGACGCAGCAACGCCGCGUGGGGGAUGAAGGCUCUCGGGUUGUAAACCCCUUUCAGCAGGGACGAUUGUGACGGUACCUGCAGAAGAAGCCCCGGCCAACUACGUGCCAGCAGCCGCGGUAACACGUAGGGGGCGAGCGUUGUCCGGAUUUAGUU
rnacentral:rRNA from 1 species